rnacentral:rRNA from 1 species
GUAACACGUAUGCAACUUACCCUUUACUGGGGCAUAGCUCAGAGAAAUCUGAAUUAAUUCCCCAUAAUGAUAUUGAAUCGCAUGAUUUGAUAUCUAAAGCUCCGGCGGUAAAGGAUAGGCAUGCGGUGUAUUAGCUAGUUGGUGAGGUAAUGGCUCACCAAGGCUACGAUACAUAGGGGUUCUGAGAGGAUGAUCCCCCACACUGGUACUGAGACACGGACCAGACUCCUACGGGAGGCAGCAGUAGGGAAUAUUGGUCAAUGGACGCAAGUCUGAACCAGCCAUGCCGCGUGCAGGAUGACGGCCCUCUGGGUUGUAAACUGCUUUUAUAUGGGAAGAAACCCCGGGAUGCGUUCCGGGCUGACGGUACCAUACGAAUAAGGAUCGGCUAACUUCGUGCCAGCAGCCGCGGUAAGACGAAGGAUCCAAGCGUUGUCCGGAUUUACUGGGUUUAAAGGGUGCGUAGGCGGAUGCUUAAGCCAGUGGUGAAAUCUCUCAGCUCAACUGAGAAACUGCCAUUGGAACCGGGUAUCUUGAAUUCGAUUGAGGUAGAUGGAAUAUAACAUGUAGCGGUGAAAUGCUUAGAUAUGUUAUGGAACACCGAUUGCGAAGGCAGUCUACUAAGUCGACAUUGACGCUGAGGCA